CCCUUAGAUGUUCUGGGCUGCACGCGCGCUACACUGAUGCGAUCAACAAGUUUUUCCUAUGUCGAUAGACACGGGUAAUCUUUUGAACUCGCAUCGUGAUGGGGAUAGAUUAUUGUAAUUAUUAAUCUUCAACGAGGAAUUCCUAGUAGGUGCAAAUCAUCAGUUUGCAUCGAUUACGUCCCUGCCCUUUGUACACACCGCCCGUCGCUGCUACCGAUUGGUUGAUCUGGUGAAUUAUUCGGACUGCCGGCUGAAGGGGUUCCCUCAUCUGCCAGCGGAAAGUCUUGUUAACCCUAUCAACUAGAGGAAGCAGAAGUCGUAACA
rnacentral:rRNA from 1 species